rnacentral:lncRNA from 1 species
UGGGGAUGGAGGAUUUGGUAUGUCGAUUUUGAAUUUGGGGCUUAGGGUUCGUCUUUGUUCUUGAGUCGGUUGUAGAGAUGUGUGUACAUGUUCUAUGAGGAAUAGAGGUGCCUAUAAGGAUAAGGAAUUGGAGCUGGUUGUGGCUUUGUGCCUGAUUUAGCUUGAGAAUCUUGACCAACCUGUUGGGCUAUGAUGUUGCUCAUGUUUCAGCCAAAGGUCAUGACCUAAUCCUACUUUGAAAAAGAUUGAAAUUAUUUUCUUUAUUUGAUUUUCAAUUCUAUUAGGAAAGGGAAUGGAAUUGUAAUUCUAUUUGGAGU